CUUGACACCCAUAAGAGGUCCAGCCUGCCCAGUGACUCUGUUCAACGGCCGCGGUAUCCUAACCGUGCGAAGGUAGCGUAAUCACUUGUUCUUUAAAUAAGGACUAGUAUGAAUGGCACCACGAGGGUUGUACUGUCUCCUUUUUCUAAUCAGUGAAACUAAUCUUCCCGUGAAGAAGCGGGAAUAAAAAUAUAAGACGAGAAGACCCUAUGGAGCUUUAAACAAAUAUACAACUGCCUUCUUUCAUAAAUAUUUCAGAAGAAAACCUUUACUUAGGCAUUUUGAUAUAGAGUUUUAGGUUGGGGUGACCACGGAGUAAAAACCAACCUCCGCAAUGAAAGGGACUAUUCCCCUAAGCUACGAGCUACGACCCUAAGAAUCAAAAAAUUGACACCAAUUGACCCAAUAUACUUGAUCAAUGAAC
rnacentral:rRNA from 1 species